CAUAUGGUCCUUUUCAGGACCACCAACAUGAGUCCAAAAAAAGUUA
rfam:Aedes aegypti strain Liverpool supercont1.192 genomic scaffold, whole genome shotgun sequence.